UAGAACUAAGUUUAUAGAAUGAAUACUGUUCCCGAGUGCAUAGGCCAAUUAGAACUAAGUCCUGUGCACUUUUAUUUCCUUAUACUUAUUUGUUAGUGUGAUUUUGACUGGUAUAGAUACAAGUUUCUUGACACCUUUGAGGUAACAAUGAGAAUUACAGGAAAAGGAAGGAUCCAUGGUUUAUAUGUGUAGGCCGUUGCAACAGUUGUAUAUCGUAUCUUAUUUCGUUUAAGGAUGGUCUGGCUUGCUUUGGUUUUAGGAAUUUAUUUAUGUAUAUAUUUGUAUAUUGUAUUUAUAAGUAUUCGACUCACUCCAGAUUUGCAUUUAUUAUAUGUCUGUUUUAGAAAUGUCUUUCUCCAUUUUUGACCAGGUUUACUUAUCAGGACUGGUGGUUGUUCUAUGAAUUUAAUUAUCGAUUUUUCUUUUUGUUUGUUUGUGCACAUGGUUGUGAAAACCCAACUAGCCGGUUGGACCGGUUUGCUUGGGAUCUGAUGGCUCAGUCGAUCCGGGUGAGCAGUCUAAUGGUGUUAGCCAUUGGACUGUUUCAAACCGGCAAUUCAACCAGGUAAGUUGUGUCUUUGUGGUCUUACUGCAGUUCAAGGCUACGUUGACGUCAGCACCCAUCAUAUCACAAAUUUGAUUUGUGGUUUACUAUAAAUAAAUGUUUAUUUAUGCAGUGUCAUUUUCCCGGUAAAAACCUAGAUCAAGCCUUUGAGUGGGUCAAGGCACAUACCGGUAACUAAAACAUUGUUUGUGCAUACAAAUCAAUACUUUGAUUGUUUAAGUAGUUUCUCCAGUUUUCACUUCUACAUGAACCAGCAUCUUGGUUCUUUCUUCUCUUUACAUUUUUUUGUUUCCUUUUUCUUUUUCCUUUUUUAAUUCACGAUUCCUCGUUUUCUUUGUUCUUGGUAGACGGAUUGAGUCUUGUCUGGUCUAUAAAUUUCAAUUUGUUAGAUUCAAUAGAAUUGCACAAGGAAAUUAGUCCCAUCAUGGCAAUCAAGGUAGAGUUUGUUUCGUGUACUCCACCUCAUUGGUUAAUAUUUUGGCCAUUUAGCUUCAUAAUGGCUAUUUUGUGCAUGUUGAGAGUACCAUUUACACAAAGUGGUGGACCAUGUUGCAAGCCACAAUUUUUGCACGGGCUACUCUGGUUGUAUUGGACUUGGUUCAACUGAAAAUUCAUGAGGUUGCAAUGGGACCAAAAAUUCUGUGACAAAGAAACGGAAGCGGUUCUUUUUCAACAAUUGAUGGUAACGUUUGUUACGUGUGCCUGUGUACACCACAAUAUAAAACAUGUUGAAAAAAGAACUGAAAACUAUACUUCUUAUUUAGGUAUGAUCUUGUAAGUAGGCCUAAGCAGGUCCGUUGUGAUAAGUUCGAAUCCAAAGUAUCUUUUUGGGACUCAGCUGUAUAUAUGCUUUUUAAAGAGGUAUAUCAGACAUUUCAAUUAAAA